rnacentral:rRNA from 1 species
AUUGAACGCUGGCGGCAAGCCUAACACAUGCAAGUCGAACGAGUGGCGGACGGGUGAGUAAUGUCUGGGCAUAUGCCUGCUGGAUGGGGAUAACGACUGGAAACGGUAGCUAAUACCGCAUACCAUCGGAUGUUCCCAGAUGGGAGUAGCUGGUUGGUGGGGUAAAGGCUCACCUGGGCGACGAUCCCUAGCUGGUCUGAGAGGAUGACCGGCCACACGGGAACUGAGACACGGUCCAGACUCCUACGGGGGGCAGCAGUGGGGAAUAUUGCACAAUGGGCGAAAGCCUGAUGCAGAAAUGCCGCGUGGAUGAAGAAGGCCUUCGGGUUGUAAAGUACUUUCAGCGGGGAGGCGGUACCCGCAGAAGAAGCACCGGCUAACUACGUGCCAGCAGCCGCGGUAAUAC